CUCUCCACCUUGGAACCUUGUCCAUCUUCUGCUUGAAAUUUCUUUCAAGCUCAGCAAACGCAUUCCCAAAACUCCCUGUCUGUUCGUCAACAUCGGACGGGUCCACAUGAUAGAAAACUGGUAAAACAAUCUGCCCAUAUGCCUUCUUGCAUUCAAGUAUCUUCACCAGUUCAUCCACACACCAUGGAGAAGAUGCAUAGUUUCUUGAGAAUAUUAUCACUGAAAUUCUCGAUUCUUCAAUUGUUCUCAAAAGUGCACCCGUAAUUUCUUCUCCUCUUUCAAGCCCAUCGUCAAUGAAGGUCUUGAUUUUCUUACGACACAAAGCAUCAUAGAGAUGGCUGGUAAAAUUAUUGCGCGUAUCCUGGCCUCUAAAACUAAGGAACACAUCAUACUUCCAUUUAUGAGCAACAGCAGGUGAAGAUUGUUGGUGGGAGGAACCACUGGUGGUGGCUUUAAAACACUCAGAGGGGAUAAAACACGAAGUUUUAUUACAAAAAACAGAAGCUUAACAAUAACAAUAAAGCUUUACAAUACACACCCUCUCUCUCUCUCUAUCUAUUGUUUUUCUCUUCUCUCCACACUUAUAAUAACCUUAGCUUAGAUGCUUAUUUAUACACAAACUCAGUCGGCUCAAAAUUCAACCGUCAUGGUGUGAAAAAUGGUUGGCGGCCAAUGGUGUGAAUGCGGCUAGGCGGUGGCAGCUGGUGGCUGGCGGCUGGUCGGUGACAGCUGGUGGCCGGUGAGGCGGUGGUUGCCUUCCUUGACCUUCUGGAUGUUGAGUUUACUAUUCAACAAAUCUCCCCCUUAAACUCAAUCGAGGGAUGUCAUGCCUAGCAUGUACUUUAAUCUGAUAAAUACUUCUCUUUUCAAUGGCUUUGUGAAGAUGUCUGCAACUUGAUCAUUUGUGUUGCAAGAUAUCAGUUGAACUUCUUCAUUCUUCACAUGUUCCCGGAUAAAGUGAUGACGUGUAUCAAUAUGUUUGCUCCUCUCAUGAUACACUGGAUUCUUUGCCAAUGCGAUUGCUGAUCGAUUGUCAAUAUAAAUCUCCGUAGGAUUUUCUUGAGGAAAUCCCAAAAACUUCAGCAUAUUCCUUAACCAUAUUGAGUGGCAUACGGCUGAGUUGGCAGCUACAUAUUCAGCUUCACAGCUUGAUAACGUGACAAUCGAUUGCUUCUUGGAUGACCAUGUGAAAGAUGUGUCUCCCAUGAAAAAGACAAACCCUGUUGUGCUUUUCCUUUCAUCCAAAUCUCUACCCCAAUCACUAUCCGAGUAGCCUACAAGAUUAAAGUCUUUACUUGAGGUAUAAAACAUACCUUCAUUCAUUGUGCCUUUGAUGUAGCGAAGAAUUCUCUUGGCUGCAUUCAAAUGAGACUGGUCUGGUGUCUCCAUGUAUCUGCUGACGAGUCCGACUCCGUAGAGUAUAUCUGGUCUGGUACAUGUCAAGUACCUUAAGCUUCCUACUAAGCUUUUGAAGUAAGUUGGAUCAACAUUUCCAACCUUACUCUUCCUCAAUUCCACUCCAUUCUCAACUGGAGUUGAUACCGGAUUGCAGCUUUCCAUCUUGAACCUUUCAAGAAUAUCUUUGGCGUAACCGCUUUGGGAUACAAAAAUCCCUUCUUCCUUCUGCGUUACUUCUAAGCCAAGAAAAUGUGACAUUAGACCAAUGUCAGUCAUUUCAAACUCCUGUACCAUGCUUGUUUGAAGUCGUCAAACAUGGUAGGGUUGUUGCCGGUGAAUAUCAAAUCAUCAACAUACAGGCACGCAAAUAAGAUGCUGCCAUCUGCUCCUUUCUUCACAUAUAUAGCGUGUUCAUAUGGACAUUUCUCAAAUCCAUUAUCUUGAAAAUACCUGUCAAUUCUGGUAUUCCAAGCACGCGGAGCUUGCUUCAAACCAUAGAGAGCCUUCUUCAACUUGUAUACUUUGCCUUCAUUUUCAGCAUCAAUGUAUCCAAGUGGUUGUUCAACAUAGAUUUCUUCUUCUAGGAAGCCAUUCAGAAAUGCUGACUUCACAUCGAGUUGAUAGAUCUUCCAUCUAUGUUGUGCAGCUAGUGAGAUCAUCAGUCUGAUUGUCUCUAGCCGGGCUACUGGAGCAAAUAUUUCUCCAUAGUCAAUGCCUUCUCUCUGUUUGUAGCCUUUAGCCACUAAUCUGGCUUUGUAUCUUUGCACUUCUCCUUUGGCAUUCUUCUUCGUCUUGUAGACCCAUUUGACACCUAUUGCUUUCUUGUUUUCUGGUAGAUAAGUCAGCUUCCAGGUAUCAUUCUUCUCAAUGGCAUGUAUUUCUUCAUCCAUUGCUGUUAUCCAUUUCUCUUCUGUGACAGCUUCAUUGAAGCUUAAUGGGUCACUAUCUGCAAAGAAACAAAAUAAAUUUGUAUCUUCCAUAACUUGAGUGGCAUCAUACAGCUCUUCAAGAUUCCGCAUCCUUCUUGGUUCUUCUGAUGAGGAUGCUGAUGGUGGUGUUGAUGAUGAUGCUCCUGGUGUAUUCCUCCUGUUGAAUACAGGGAAUCUGUGCACCGGACUUUGUGGUUCAGCUGCUGGCAUAAUCACCGGACUUUGUGGUUCAGCUGCUGGCACAAUCGGUUCUUCUAUAAGUACUGUUGGUACUUCUUCACCUUCAAGGAUCAAAUCAGUGUUGAUCCAUCUGACUGCUUCUUGAUCAUCAUUCCAUGCCCAAGAUUUAUCUUCUUCAAAGAUAACAUCUCUACUCGUAAUCACCUUCUUCGUGAUGGGAUUAUACAGCCUGUAUCCCAUCCUUCUUUCACCAUAUCCGACAAAGAUGCAUUUCUCGCUCUUAUCAUCGAGCUUUCUCCUUCUUGCAUCUGGGAUCUUUGCAUAUGCCACACAACCAAAGACUCGUAGAUGAGUAACACUUGGUUUGUGACCACUCCAUGCUUCUUCUGGAGUGACUCCUUGCAAACUUCUGGUUGGGCAGCGAUUCAACAGAUACACUGCACAUGAUACAGCUUCAGCCCAGUAUUGCUUGGGCAGCUUCUUUGCUUUGAGCAAACUUCUGGCCAUGUCAAGAAUCGUGCGAUUCUUCCUUUCUGCUACACCGUUCAGCUGUGGUGUAUAAGCUGGCGUUUGAUGUCUGAUGCCUUGUUGUGUACAAAGGCUUCAAAGUCAUUUGGCUGUAUAUUCUCCACCUUGAUCAGAUCUUACGGUUCUGAUCGUGUAACCAGUUUGCUUCUCCACAAUUGCUUUAAAAUCUUUAAAACAAUUGAAUACUUCUGACUUCCUCUUCAGAAAGUAUAUCCAUGUCUUUCUACUAAAAUCAUCAGUAAAAGUGAGGAAGUACCUAUUUUGUCCAGUCGACAUAGGCGUAAUUGGGCCACACACAUCUGUGUGUACUAACUCCAGUGGCCUCUUUGCUCUCCAGUUGACUUCUUUGGCAAAACUGGAUCUGUGAUGUUUGCUGAGGACACAACUCUCACAGACUUCAUCUGGAUGAUCAAUGUGAGGCAAACCUUUGACCAUCUUCUUGCUUGCUAGCAUCUUCAUUGUGAAAUUCAGAUGUCCAAGCCUCAGGUGCCAAAGCCAUUCUUCACUGUUGGUGAUGGCGCUCAAACACCUUGUUGCAUCAUACUGGAUGUUCAAAGGAAACAUCCUAUUCUUGGACAUUUUCACGUAGGCCAUUAAUCUCCCAUUGUUGUCUCUAAUUGCCAGAUGACAAUUCUUCGAGUAAAAAUAUAUCCUCUCUCCAACAGUUGACCUAAGCUGAUCAGGUUCUGCUUUAUGGCUGGGACAUAAUAGACAUCGGCGAUGUAGCUGGAAUCGCCAUUCUUCAACUUAACUGGGAUGCUGCCUUUACCUUUGAAUGGAACCUUUGUGGUAUCUCCAAAAGUAACUAGACCUUGCUUGGUCUCAUCUAGAUCACGAAAUAACUCUCGGUAGCCGCACAUGUGAUUGCUGGCUCCAGUAUCUAGAUACCAUAUAUCCUCAUGUUUCUCUCAUGUCCUUGUUGGACAAGAAAUGCAGUUUCUUCUCUAUCAUCCUUUCUGCAUAGUUGGCUUGCUCACGUAUCUCAACGGAGCUUUCCUUCGGCAUUCAGUGCUAUAGUGCCCAAAUUGAUUGCAGCUAUAACAUUUGAUAUUCCUCUUGUCACGGUUAUUGUAACCGCCUCCUCUUCCUCUAGGAGUGAAUGCUUGUUGUCCUCGGCCUCCUCUGGUGGUGUUUCUACCACCUCUUCCUCUGAAGCUUGUAUUCCAAGAUCCUCUUCCUCUUCCUUGGAAUCUAUGAAAUCCUCCUCUGGAUUGUUGACUUCCUGCUUGAGUGGUGUAGCCACUGUUGAAGUCUCCCCUUGCUCAUAUCUGUCUUUGAAAGACAGCUUUGCUUGUAAGGCAUGCUCAAUGGCCUUAUCUUCAUUUCGCAUUACAAUCUUCUGCUCAUGAGCUUGCAAAGAACUCAUAAGCUCAUCCACUGUCAACUUGUCCACUUCCUUGGACUCUUCAAUUGCGACAACAACAUGAUCAAAUUUUGGAUCUAUGGAUCUCAAAAUUUUCUCAAUAAUUCGAGUAUCUAUGAUGGCUUCUCCAUUUCUCCUCAUCUGAUUGACUAUCACCAUAAUCCUUGUAUGAUAAUCAGAAAUAGAUUCUGAGGACUUCAUUCGUAAUAAUUCGAAUUCUCCUCUCAAAGAUUGAAGACGAAUCUUCUUGAUUCUGUCAGCACCUUUGUAUUUCUGUUGGAGAGCCUCCCAUAUAUCAUGUGACGUUUCAGCGGAAGCUAUUAUCUCGAAUGUAUCUUCAUCAAGACCUUGAUAGAUGAUGGUCUUUGCCUUGUUGUCCUUCUUUCUGUUGACUUUCAAAGCUUGCUUCUGUGCCUCUUGUAAAGCAUCUUCUCUUUCUUUGGAUUCUGGUUCAUCAUAACCAGUUUGUACAAUAUCCAAACACUCUUGUGACCCAAGGAAUGCCUUCAAUCUGAUGCACCAACUAUCAUAGUUGUCUUUGGUCAGCUUCGGGAUGAGUGUAUGUGUACCUUCUGUAGUCAUUUUGCUCUUUGAAUGACUAUAUCACCUUCUGGGAGCCGAAUUUGCCAAACGGACACUGUAGAUCGAUCCGGAAUGGUCCAAAUAGUAGGGAACCGGUCUACUUUGUUGAAAUCGGGUCAAAAAUGGGUGAACCGGUCAAAAAACCAAUUCUGUACGGCGGGCGGUUCGCUGGGUUGAACCGGGAAUAUUCUGUGGAAUAUUCGGGGAAUAUUCUGGGAAUAUUCGGGGAAUAUUCGGGAAUAUUCUGGGGAAUAUUCUCUCUCGGCUGCGGCUGGAAUACGGCUCGGCUCGGCGCGGAGGACGGCUCGGCUUGUGGCUCGGCUGGACUCGGCUAUCGGCUCGGCUGGCGCUCGGCUUAGGCGGCUUACACGGCUCGAAUAUGGCGCGCGUGGACGACACUCGUCGUCUUCCUCUGGAGCGCGUGGGUGCGCGUGGGUGACAGUCACCGGAUCUUCAGACGGCGCGUGUGGAUCACCCCGGACUCCGAUCAGGCUGAUUUUUGCGGCAGUGAACUCGUCUUGAUGAGCUCUACACUAUGGAAUGAUCAAAACUUGUUUUUGACAACUUUGAAAUUUCGGAUAUACCCCACAACUCUUCUGUUUUCCGACGAACGGGGCUCUGAUACCAAUUGUUGGUGGGAGGAACCACUGGUGGUGGCUUUAAAACACUCAGAGGGGAUAAAACACGAAGUUUUAUUACAAAAAACAGAAGCUUAACAAUAACAAUAAAGCUUUACAAUACACACCCUCUCUCUCUCUCUAUCUAUUGUUUUUCUCUUCUCUCCACACUUAUAAUAACCUUAGCUUAGAUGCUUAUUUAUACACAAACUCAGUCGGCUCAAAAUUCAACCGUCAUGGUGUGAAAAAUGGUUGGCGGCCAAUGGUGUGAAUGCGGCUAGGCGGUGGCAGCUGGUGGCUGGCGGCUGGUCGGUGACAGCUGGUGGCCGGUGAGGCGGUGGUUGCCUUCCUUGACCUUCUGGAUGUUGAGUUUACUAUUCAACAAAGAUGCCAUAUCAGACAGUUACAGGAUCGUGUCUUCCUCAAUCACUAAGAAUCGAAAUCAAUAACUGCUCUCCUUUUUCUCCUAAAGACAUAAAAAGAGCACCCACUUCAACAGCUGAACAUUCAUUGAGAGAAAUUGAAGUCUAAAAGUUCAAAAACCCACACAACAUAUAUUUAUUAGAAAAUUCCUCAAACUCUUAACGAUGGACAUAUACUAGCUUAAUUUGAUAUGAUCUAUCUUAAUUUGAUCACUCGUCACUUGCUACCAAUGCUAGCUUCCUAUUACUUUCAUUGCAAGAACAGUAACUAGGUGAGCAGAACGAAUUACAGAUGGCAGAAUUAAUAUGUUCAUGAAACAAACUUAUCAAACUCGUAUAUGUAAUCUUGAACAAAGAAGACGCAUGAACCAGAAAGACUUACGAACAGAUCAUAAGAACAGUUGACUUGUGUUUAGCAUCAGCAAACAAGACGAAGAAGAAGCUGCAUAUUGUUGAUGAUAAAGACGAUUUUUCUUGUCUAUUGCCUUCAAGUAAAUCUUUACAGACAAUCUGAUCUCAUCGUACUCUAAAUGUAAUCCCAGUUUUUGAUCAAGAAACAGGUGAAUGAGAGAAGACUUUGGGGUAAUCAAUACCAAGUACAUUAAUAGCUAGUCUAUCACAUCUUAGUCUUGUAUUUCAAAUAGACAACCAUGUUAACAUCAUCUCGCAGUAUUAAAUCCAUGUUAAUUUUCUUGGUGAGGCCAAAUUAGCAAACUCAACUCUGUCUUGCAUCAGCUAAAAGUCAACGCGUUAAAAGGGGUUUAAUAUAACACUUUAUUUUUAUUUUUUUAAAAAAUAAAGUUUGGCUUGGGGGGGGGGGGGGCGCUUUGUUAAUCUUGAUUAUUUAAUAACUAUCUCUCGUUAAUCUGCCGUUGUGAUAGGAACGCUCUUUCACUUGCACCACAAGAAAACCAUACUUUCUCCACAAUCAUUAAUUAAUGAGCCAACAAAGACAAGAAAAACAUAACUACAAAUUGAAACCACCGCCCCCACCUCAAACCCAUUGCAAAGUGUCAAUAAUGUAAAAUCAAAACAUUCAAAAGGUAUUUUUGUACAAUAACACAAUUCAAAACGAAUGCAAACUAAUAUUCUAGGGCCUGUUUUGAAUUGUGGUUAGAGUUGCGGUUCAAAGUAUUUUUUAUUUAAAAAUAUAUUAAAAUGAUGUUUGUUUUUUAAUUUUCAACAGGCUAAAAAAACAUAACUACAAAUUGAAACCACCACCCCACCUCAUACCCAUUGCAAAGUGUCAAUAAUGUAAAAUCAAAACAUUCAAAGUGUAUUUUUGUACAAUAACACAAUUCAAAACGAACGCAAACUAAUAUUCCAGGGCCUGUUUUGAAUUGUGAUAGCAAUUGCGGUUCAAAGUAUUUUUUACUUAGAAAUGUAUUAAAAUGAUGUUUGUUUUUUUAAUUUUUUAAAAAAUAAUUUUUGAGAUCAGCACAUAAAAAAAAUCUUAAAAUAUAUAAAAAAAUUAACAAAAAAAAUUGAAUUUUAAAAAAACAUGGAUUCAAAACCACGUUCCCAAAUGUGGCCUAACCGUUAUCAAGAGCACCUCCUCUCCCUAUCCCUUCUCCUUCUCCCCUAUUCCAAUUAAUAUGCUAAUAUAAAAAAAAUUAAAUAUUCAAAAUAUUAUUUUAAAAUAUUUUUAAGUAAAAUAUACCUUUAAAAAUCACCUUAUAUAACAGCACCAAUCUUGCAUUUUUUUUUGCCUUUUGGAUUCAACCCAUAGGCAAUGACUUUAUCUUUUGCAAAUUUAAUAAUUGUCAUAUUUGAAAGUUCAAUCCUAGUCAUUACAAAAAUAAAGAUAAAAAUAAAAAAUAAAAUAGAGACGUAACCCAAAAGAUCUUAGCCAUGCAUGAUUGGAUCUUAGCCUAACCGAGUUUCAUGGAACUCAACUAGACCUGGCUAAGGGAAGACGGUGAAAGGGAUGAGAGCUCGGUUGGGCAUAAUAGGCCUAACCUAGUUGUGGGGCCCAGUCGAUAUAUAUGUUAUAUUAUCCUAUCAUUAGUUUUAAUUUACUAUAAAAUUUAGUAACCUUCUCUAAUUUCCACAACAAGGGAUACAAAGAGUUUUUUUACAGAAUGUGCUCGGUUGGGCACAUUCUGUUUUUUAUCUAAUUAUAAAGAAAAACUUGUUUAGUUAAUAAAAAUUUUUCCUAAAUAUAAUUCUAUUUCAAAUCUUGAUUUUAUAUAAUAAUUUAUUUUUUAUUCAUAGAUAUUUGUUUAUAAUUUAUUUUACAUGUAAAAACCUGUUUUAUAGUAGUUUUAACAAAACAUAUAUGGUUUAAAUCUAUAUUUUUAAAACUGCAUUUAAAAGUUUUUUUUUUCUCUAAACCGUCACCGUAAAAACUACACACUAAAAAACUCUCUCUUUCUUUGUUUUUUUUUUUUUUUAUUAAAUCUCAAGGAAUAUUUCAAAAUUGGAUCAAAUUUAAUCAAGGUUUGUUGUUCUAUAUAAUAUAAUUAAAAAGAAAAGGAGAAAAUUAUAAUUGACUUUCUUGUAUUAUCUUAUUGAAAAUUAUUGUUGGCUCUAUUGCAUAUAACGCAAUAAUAUGCUUUGUAGUCCAAAACAAAGCUGCUUUUUAGGUUGAUCCAUGUAAGUAAAUAACAAGAGUAACUUGGACGGAUGGUAUUUUGCAAUGAAGCAACAGACGGAUGGUUUUGUAAGGGAUUGAACGUGCGUGCGUGCGAGCGAGCGGGCGAGCGAGCGAGAGUGAGAGAGAGAGAGAGAGACCUCACUGUAAAGUCUUUUGGCAUAUAGCUGAAUUUUCAAGAGAGCGUAUGCCAUGAUAUUGUUGGGUGCAGUCUCGCAACAUGAGACAAUUAGUUGAAUUCAAAAAUGUUUCCAUCAACUGUAGUUGAUGAGCUUGGGACUGUUCUCAGAGAUGUGCAGCUGUGUGCAUCUAGUUUUGCAAGCCGUGGUGGAAACUUGGUGACAUUUGAGCAGCCAGAGACAUCAACAAUAACAAUAGACUUCAACAAACAAAUACUGUCUGGAAGAUUCCCAAGUUGUUUACAGUCCCUCAAAUUCAAAGCAACGAGUCUACUCAGAUGUCCAAUAGAUUGGGGAAGUUCUUUGAUUGCAGUCUCAUUGAAAUUCAAAUACAUCACAUGCUCUGUAGUCUCUGGGUACAUCUUGAGAUUUGAGCAGCCAUAGAGGUUAAGAGCCUUGAGAUAUUUCGAUUUAAUGAUUCUUGGAAGACUCAAAAGGCUUGUGCAGCUUCUCAGAUCCAAAUCAACAAGCUUCUCUAGAAAUUGAAUAGAUGAGGGAACCACUUUCAGAGUUGUACAAAAUUGAAGAUUCAAUCUCUCAAGAUUUUUAGCCUUUGAUAGGUCUGGAAUUGUAGUUAGAUGCUCACAAUUACUAACGUUGACCUCUGUUAAAUUCACAAGAUUCUGCACCAUCAUUGUAUUGAUAACAAAAAAACAUUAGUAUCUGUACAUUUUAAAAUUCAUUUGAAAGAGGAGAAAGAUUACAUUUUAUUUUAUCCUUCAAUAUUUUAUUUAUUAAAAAUUAAGGUCUUAUUCUUUCUUCAUUUUUCUUUCAAUGGGGUUAUUUCAUUCUCAUUUUAUUUUUUUUUGUGAUCAAAUAAAAUCAUUGAGACCUUUUACAAUUAUUAAAAUGAUUUUUUCCAUGAUAUUGUUAAUCCUUUAUUUUUUGAAGUUAGUCAUUGUCAAAAGAUUUUUAGUUCAUUUUUUAUUGUUGUUGUUUUUUUUUAUUAUAUUAUCAAAUUAAUCCAACUGGGUAAAUAACAAAAAGGAUGUUAAAGUUAUGUCACACUCUACUAAAAUAAGAGAUUAAACCUAAGAACUACUAAAGCAGCUUUCUAAUUAAUUAAUGAGGUUAUGGAAACCUUUACAAAAGGUUUAAGCUCACGUUUCACAGCGAAGAUAGAUUAGUUUUCUUGUUAGAUGAUGAUUAAUAUGUAGUAGACUAGCGAAAAAAAAAAAAAAAACCUUUUUCUCAGGGUCUUCGAAUAAGGACACUAUAGAGGUUUGGUAUAAAAGGAUGAAGAAGUAGAAGAAGAAGUGUUUAGAAUCCUUUACCCUAAGGUUCAAUAGUUUUUAUAUAUCUAUAAGCUCUCACAAGUUGCUUAGAGUUAUGGGUAUAAAGAACAUUCUUCCUGCCACAUAUGAUUUUAGAUUGUCAUUAAUAUGAGUUUGUGUUAAUAUAAUAUAUAUAAGCAAUUUUCCUGUAAUUAGCUUUUUAAAAGCAUUUUUAAAACAUAAUAGCUUAAGUGUAACCUUGAGGAGUGUAUAUUAAUUGAUCAGAUUUUAAAUUUUUUUUUUUUAAAUCACCAGUUCACGUCUUACAAACCUAAAAUCAUUUAUGUAGACUUAAAGUAUAAUUCAAUAAUAAAUGAAGUCUAAGAAAUACAUUAAAAAAUAAUGGUGAAUGAAUAUCCUAAAAGCACUCGUUGCUUUUCCCUUAUCAAUAUAACUUUUAAAGUCGUUUAAUAAUUUUGAUUACAUAUAUUACCCUGCAAAGACUUUUUAUGAUGGUUUACUGUUAAUAUGAAUAUAAAUAGUAAAGAAUCUUAAUAUGUAUUUUUAGUUAGUUUAUAAUAAUUUUCUUCUUGUUAUGUGGCAGUGGCACACGUGAUAUGAUGCAGUUUGCAGUUCGACAGUGGAUGACAACACUUAAUUUUUUAUUUUUUACAAACAAUAGGUGGUCUGUAAUUUAAAAAACAAAUAACAUAUCAUAUACCACUUUAAUUCAAAAAACAAUAAAUAGAUUAAGACGAGAUAUUGUUUGUGUGCUCAUAAUAAUAAUAAUAAUAAAUUAUUCAUGAGGAUUCAAUUAACCUCAGUGUUUUAUAAUUAAAAAUUUCAAAUGUAUUUUAAAUUUUUUUUAUCAUGUUUAGUAUUUUUUUAUUUUUCAAUCACAUAAAAUAUAAAUAUUAAGAGCCUUGAGAUAUUUCGAUUUAAUGAUUCUUGGAAGACUCAAAAGGCUUGUGCAGCUUCUCAGAUCCAAAUCAACAAGCUUCCCUACAAAUUGAAUAGAUGAGGGAACCACUUUCAGAGUUGUACAAAAUUGAAGAUUCAAUCUCUCAAGAUUUUUAGCCUUUGAUAGGUCUGGAAUUGUAGUUAGAUGCUCACAAUUACUAAGGUUGACCUCUGUUAAAUUCACAAGAUUCUGCACCAUCAUUGUAUUGAUAAGAAAAAAAAUUAGUAUCUGUACAUUUUAAAAUUCAUUUGAAAGAGGAGAAAGAUUACAUGUGUAGUGACUAAACCAUAUAAUCUUUUGGAAUAUUGUGGUUUCCUUUGAAGACAGACAAACUGAAGAGUUGACCUGCUUCACUGCAAUUUAAUUCCUCGACCUCGUAUAUUUUAUCAGCCACACUCUUAAGCACUUGUCAAUCUCUGGACGUUACAAGAAUUCUACUUCCUGGACCAACAUACCAUGCCUUUCAAUUAAACAUUCCACUUGUUCUACAUCAUUCACAUCAUCUAGAACAGUUAAGACUUUUUCGUGCCGGAUCCUUUCCUUGAUUAAAGUGGAUCCCAUGCGUGGAGUGUCAAUACGUAGAUUUUCCUGCUCUAAUACUCUGGAAAGGAAUUCCAAAUUGAGUCGUUCAAUGCGUGAAUCUAUCCCAACUAGGCCCUUAGAGUCACCUAAUGAUGUGUGUUUCAAUUUUUUUCAAAAUGAAUUGCACAAUUUCACUUACGAGUUUGGACUCAGGCCACAUACAAUGGACUAGAUGAUGGCAUGUCUAGGACAAAGUGCUGGAACGAUGGACUGUCUAGGCCAAGACAGAAACACAACAACAUUAGCGGCAAGAGUGCUGAUAAUUGACCAUGUGGUUCGUGAGGGACAGACCAGGCUAUAAGAACAUAUAGGGCGGACUGGACAAGAGAGGCAUGUUGGGUGGACAGCUCAAGGGAAGCAUGGGGUGGACUUUCCAAGAAGGGUCUGGGGCAGAGCACUCAUGUGUGGAACUUGAAUUGAAUAGGCUGGAAAAAGGUUAUGCUGUGGAGUAUGCAAUAACUUGUAAGCAGAAGGUAAAUUCUGCGUAUCACACAGACGGAUUUGUGUAUUCCUUUGUCAAAAAUGCUUUUAUGUUUUAAGAAAUUAAAAUUUCAAAAUUACUUAAGAAUAAAAGAUUUUAGAAAAACAAUUUUCAUUUUUUUCAAAGAAAUAAAAUCAUGCAUGCUAGCUCUUGUAUAGUGUUAGAGCGUUUUCAAUAUGAAAUGAAAUUUUGUCAAAUUGAUUGGUAAAACUUGUUAAAAUGGCGUAUUAAAAAAAAAAGAUUUCAUGAAAAUACAUAAUAAACAUUUUUGAAAAUGUAGAGACAUAUUAGUUAAGCUAUUUACCUUUUAAAACAAUAUCUAAAAAAAACAACAACAAGUAGUUACAAUACUUCUGUAAAACCCCCAAACAAAAAAAAAACAAGAAGUGGAACUGAAAUGACUCUACCAUCCCUGUCGAUAUCGGAAUCGGCAGCAACGCAGUUUCAGGCUACCGAUAUCGAAAUCGGCAGCGAUGCAGUUUCGACUGUCGAUUUAUGAAUCGGUAGCGACGCAGUUUCAGGCUGCCGAUAUCGGAAUCGGCAGCGGUACAAUUUUGGCUGCCCAUUUAUGAAUCAGCAGCGACGCAGUGUGGCUGCUGAUUUCUGAAUCGGCAGCGAAGCAGUGUCGCUGAAAUCGACAGCAACGCAGUUUCAGGCUGCCGAUAUCGGAAUCGACAGUGAUGCAGGUUCGUUUGCCGAUUUAUAAAUCAGCAGCGCCGUAGUGUGGCUGCCGAUAUCUGAAUCGGCAGCGACGUAGUAUCAGGCUGCCGAUAUCAGAAUCGGCAGCGAUGCAAUUUCGGCUGCCAAUUUAUGAAUCGGUAGCGACGCAGUGUGGCUGCCGAUAUCUGAAUCGGCAGCGACGCAGUUUCAGGCUGCCGAUAUAGGAAUCGGCAGUGAUGUUGUUUCGGCUGCCGAUUUAUGAAUCGCCUGCGACGUAGUUUCGGGCUACCGAUUUCUGAAUUGGUAGUGAUGCAGUGUGGCUACCGAUUUUGGAAUCGACAUCGACGCAGUUUCAGGCUACCAAUAUCAGAAUCGGUAGCGAUGCAGUUUCGGUUGCCGAUUUAUGAAUCGGCAGCGACGCUGUUUUGGGCUGCCGAUUUUUGAAUCGGCAGCAACAUCAAAAAAAAAUAAUAUAUAUAUAUAUAAUAAAAGUUUUAGUGUGGGACCGACCUAUCCUGGGGGGGAGAAGGGGAAUGAAAAUCAGCUCAAGGAUAACCUAAAAGGAGGAUUAGGACAACCUUGUCCAACAUCCAAACACCCCCUUUUUGCUUUUAAGAGGGGUAUAAAUGCAGCAAGGAGAGAGAGAGGGAGACACCCUUCCUAAAAACGAGUUGGUCCCCUUCCCUCUUCCCAAAGUGAGCUGCAUGCUCUUGUCCCCUCCCCUUUCCCCCAAAAUGAGAUGCUUGUCCCCUUCCCUCUUUCCCUUUCCAAGGAAAGAGCUUGACCAAACCCCAGCUGCUAGUGCCCUCCUUAGAUGUGAGAGAAAGAAGGGAGAGCUUGACAGGAGGCUGGACAGCUGCAAACAUGAAGGGAGUAGAGGCCCAAAAAUCGGUAGGGAACUAACAAGAGGAGGAGAAAAAACGAAAGAGAGGAAGAGGAAGAAACAAUCAGGAGCAGAAGGGGAGAAAUGUUGUCAAACCCCUCCCAAAAAUGCUAAAUCCGUGAGGUAUGAACCAUGUCUUUCUCCACCUGUUCUUAAGGUCUUGAAAUCGAAAGGAAGAAGAAUAAAAAUAUGGAUGCAUGGCCUAGGAACUUUACUCCAACUGUUAUGGAAAAGAACUAAGCUAAAAGGAGGGACAAAAACGGGGCUGGAUGGGGGACCUGAUUCCAGAAUAUUUAACAAAAGAUUGUAUGAUGAAAUUGAUGAGUUCAAUGUGUGUAUGCCGCUAGAAUUCAUUGAAAGAUUAUAUGUUGGAAUUGAUGGUUUCAAUGUGUGUGUUCUGCUGGAAUUUAUUGAAAAAUUAUAUGCUGAAAUUGAUGGGUUCAAUGUGUGUAUGCUGCUAGAAUUCAUUGAAAGAUUAUAUGUUGGAAUUGAUGGUUUCAAUGUGUGUGUUCUGCUGGAAUUUAUUGAAAAAUUAUAUGCUGGAACUGAUGAUGGUUUCAAUGUGUGUGUUCUGCUGGAACUUAGUGACAGUUUAUGUACUGGAGUUGUUGCAAAGUGUAGUGUGUGUUCAUGCCAAAAUGUGGGUUGGGCAGCGAAUUUGUGAUUCGUUGCCGAAACUGAGUUUUCUGCAGCGAAUUAGUUUUCACUGCCGAAAUGUGUCUUCUGCAAUGAAUUUGUGAUUCGCUGCCGAAAUUUGUGUUCUGCAGCGAAUUUGUGAUUCGCUGCGGAAGUUGAGUUGGCUGCAACAAAAUUGUGAUUCGCUGCUGAAAUUGAGUUGUCUGCAGCGAAUUAACAUUCACUGCCGAAAUUUGUGUUCUGCCGUAAAUUUGUGAUUCACUGCUGAAGUUGAGUUGGCUGCAGCGAAAUUGUGAUUCGCUGCCGAAAUUGAGUUGUCUGCAGCGAAUUAGCAUUCGCUGCCGAAAUUUGUGUUCUACAGCGAAUUUGUGACUCGCUGUCGAAGUGGAGUUGGCUGCAGCGAAAUUGUGAUUCGCUGCCGAAAUUGAGUUGUCUGCAGCGAAUUAGAAUUCGCUGCUGAAAUUUGUGUUUUGCCGUGAAUUUGUGAUUUGCUGUCGAAGUUGAGUUGGCUGCAACGAAAUUGUGAUUCGCUAUCGAAAUUGAGUUUUUCGCUGCCGAAUUGGAAGCCCGCAGCGAACCAGUUUUUGCUGUUGAAUUGAGCAGCCUACAACGAGCCAGUUUUCGCUGCCGAUUUCUACAAUAGGCCUUCUGGGCAGAAAUGACUUAAAUUCUAGUAACAAUUUCAUGGUAUGAUGGUGUAAAAUGUGGAACACUUGAAUGUGAACCUAUGAACUCUUGAAAUAAGUGUGGUGAUGAUUGUGAAUUGAAGAUACAAAUAAAUUGAUUGUGGUCUUUGGUGUCUUAGGUGUUGUGGCCAGGAUCGGACCAUUGCCAGGACAAGGACAGACCACAAGUGGAGCAGGUAGGUGGUUUUCACCUUUUUCCCAUUUUGAUGUUUAUGUUUUGAAAUGAUUAACUUGUGAUGAGAUUUUAUUAAAUCCUUGUUGUAAGAGGAAACGAUGAAGAAGAGUUGGAUUAAAUUCUUGAUGAUUGUCGAAACGACUAUGAAAUGUCAAACAAGUUCUUGAUGAAUAUUGAAACAAUGGUGAAAAUGUUAGAGUUCUAAACUGACCCAUUUGAGGUGAACAUCUUAUUGAGUUGUGAUGAAUACUAAAUCGAAUGUGAUGUUGGGGUUGUUAUGAAUUUGAGCUACUAAUGAAUGGUAGUAUGUGUCGUACAAAGAAUCUACUUUUGUAUUCUUACUGAAUGUAAUGGUGAUGAAUGAUUGUAUGAGUAUUAUGAAAGAUCUACUAUUUUAUUAUAUUAAAUGUAAUUGUGAUGAAUGUGUUACCAAGGAUCUAUCAUUUAUUAUACUGAAUGUAAUGAUGAUGAAUGAUUGUAUGAGUGUUAUGAAAGACCUAUCGUUGUAUUGUAUUGAUGGUUAAUUACCACAAAUGGUGGUGUGAGUAUUACGGGGGAUUUAUUAUUGUGUUGCAUUGAACAUUAAUUGUCAGGAAUGGUUGGAUGAGUGAUACAAAGGGUACUAUUGUGUUAUGUUAUAUUGAAUACUAAACUGUUGUGGGAUGUUUGGUUUUGCAUUACAAAGGAUCUAUCAUCGUGUUACGGAAUGAUAAAUUACUAAGAAAUGGUGGUACGAGUAUCCCUAAGGGUCUGCUUUGAUGUUGCAAGGAAUGUCAAAUUGUCAUGAAUUGUUUGAUGAAACAAUGAUUAGCUUCGGCUAAUAGCAUCCGAGUGGAUGACCGGAACAAAUGAUUGAUUAGCUCCGGCUAAUGGCAUCCGACUGGAUGACCGGAACAAACGAUUGAUUAGCUUCGGAUAAUGACAUCUGAGUGGAUGACCGGAACAAACGAUUGAUUAGAUGCGGCUAAUGGCAUCCGAGUGGAUGACCGGAACAAACGAUUGAUUAGAUGCGGCUAAUGGCAUCCGAGUGGAUGACCGGAACAAACGAUUGAUUAACUCCGGCUAAUGGCAUCCGAGUGGAUGACCGGAAAAAACAAUUGAUUAGCUUCGGCUAAUGCCACCCGAGUGGAUGACCGGAACAAAUGAUUUCGGCUAAUGACAUCCGAGUGGAUGACCGGAACAAACGAUUGAUUAGCUUCGGCUAAUGGCAUCCGAAGGGAUGACCGGGGUAAAUGAUUGAUUAGCUCUGGCUAUUGGCAUCCAAAGCAGAUGACUGGGAUGAACAAAGAUUAGCUCCGACUAAUGGCAUCCUAAAUGGAUAAUCGAGAUUAAUAAACGAUUAACUAUGGUAAUGACACCAUAUAUGAAUUACUAGAAUGAAUAAAUGAUUAGCUUUGGUAAAUGGCAUCCUAAAUGGAUAAUCGAGAUUAAUAAACGAUUACCUAUGGUAAUGACACCAUAUAUGAAUUACUAGAAUGAAUAAAUGAUUAGCUUUGGUAAAUGGCAUCCUAAAUGGAUAAUCGAGAUCAAUAAAUGAUUAGCUAUGGUAAUGACACCAUAGAUGAAUUACCAGAAUGAAUAAAUGAUUAGCUUUGGUAAAUAGCAUCCUAAAUGAAUAAUCGAGAUCAAUAAAUGAUUAGCUAUGGUAAUGACACCAUAGAUGAAUUACCAGAAUGAAUAAAUGAUUAACUUUGGUAAAUGGCAUCCUAAAUGGAUAAUCGAGAUCAAUAAAUGAUUAGCUAUGGUAAUGACACCAUAGAUGAAUUACCAGAAUGAAUAAAUGAUUAGCUUUGGUAAAUGGCAUCCUAAAUGGAUAAUUGAGAUCAAUAAACAAUUAGUUAUGGUAAUGACACAAUAGAUGAAUUACCAUAAUGAAUAAAUAAUUAGCUUUGGUAAAUGACAUCCUAAAUGGAUAAUCGAGAUUAAUAAACGAUUAACUAUGGUAAUGACACCAUAGAUGAAUUACCAGAAUGAAUAAAUGAUUAGCUUUGGUAAAUGGCAUUCUAAAUGAAUAAUUGAGAUCAAUAAAUGAUUAGCUAUGGUAAGGACACCAUAGAUGAAUUACCAUAAUGAAUAAAUGAUUAGCUUCGGUAAAUGGCAUCCUAAAUGGAUAAUCAAGAUGCAUAAAUUACUAGCUUCGGCUAAUAACAUCCUAGGUGGAUAAUCGAGAUGAACAAAUGAUUAAUUACGACUGAUGACAUCCUAAAUGGAUAAUCGGGAUGAAUAAAUGCUACCUUCGACUAAUAGCAUUCCAAAUGGAUAAUCAGGAUGAAGAAAUGACUAUCUUCGACUAAUGGCCUCCCAAGAGGAUUGUCGGAUUUGAGUGUAUGAGUUAGUUUUAAGAAGAAUUGAUGUGGUCAUGUAUACUACGUUUCGUAUAUACUAAGUAUAUGAAAGGACUAUAAUAGUUAUGCUUUAACCAAAGAAAAACAUUAAUUCGGCUAAUGACAUUCGAGAUCAAUGAUCGGGUUUGAGUACUAAAAUUAGCCUCGUUAAUUGAUGGAUUAUUAACGAUGGUAUUUACAUAAGUAAAGGGAAAUUAAAGAAUUAUGCUUUUUGGUCCAUGAAUAAAAUAUGACUUUAAUCCUGUUUUAUUAUGUUCUUAAAUGACCUACAAUGCUUAAAAUUUCCUUGUAUUGUAACAGGGACAUCAUAUCAAUAUGGUGCGUAAGGAAAUUCAUUUCGUGGCUCACACAUUUCGAUAUAUGUGGCUCACACAUUUCGAUAUAUGUUUUCUGGAAGAUUCACCAGGAGUUUGCAGUUCUUCAAAUAUAACGUAACAAGUCCAUUGAGUUCCCCGAUUAAUUGGGAAGCUCUUCAAUAGCAGUCUCAUUUAAAUUUAAAUAUGUCAGUUUCCUUGCAUUCUCUGGGCACUUCUUGAGAUUUGCACAACCAGAAAGGUUCAGAGUCUCCAGACAACUUGAAUUAAUUCUACUGGGAAGAUUGAUUAGUCUUUUGCAGCAUCUCAAAUCUAAAUCAACAAGCUUGUCCAGAUGCUGAAUAGAUGAAGGAAACAUAACCAAACUUUUACAGAAUUGAAGAUUCAAUCUCUCAAGGUUUCUGGCCUUUGAAAGGUCUGGCAGGGAAGUUAUGUGCUCACAAUUGCUGAGGGUGACAUCUUUUAAAUUGCCGAGAUUCUGAAGCAAAAUGAAAUCAACAGAAAGAAAUUACACGUGCAUACCACACCAAAUUUCAAAGAAAGAACUAUGCAUGCAUAGAGUUAUUUUAGAAUACCUGGUCUCCUCUCCACAGUUGCUUAACCUUGCUAGAUGAUAGGUUAAGUUCAACAAGGUUCUGUGGACGAAAAUUGCAAGGCAAAGAUGUCAAAGGGUAUCCAUCCCAAUGGAGAUACCUCAACUCAUGAGAAAGAGACUCGAGGCCACUAGGAAGGUGCACUGUGCAUUUAUCUCCAGCUACAGAAUUAUAAAUUUUUAGCAGUCUAAGAUUAUACAACCUUGCGAAGGCUGUAGAACUCAACUCUAUUUCUCUUAUUUCUGAAACAUUCAAGAACAUCCCUUCAACGUUUUCAGUUCUUAGUUUUGAAACAUCCAGGAAUAUCCCUUCAACUUUUCCAGUUCCCUGAAAAACAGUAAAGGAGAAGCAAAGUUUAAUUAAUAUUUUAAACGUACAAGUACAACCAUAUGGCAUUGCAUAGGAAACAGAAAACUUUGGGGUAUAUGAAUCUCACCAGAUUAUUGGUCAACACUUGAUAUGCAUCUUUUGGAUUCCACAAUCUGCUCUGUCUUCCUAGCUCGUCAAGAGAUUCUUUAUGAACAACUUCAUGGGCCAUUUCUUGCAAAAGAUCAUGCAUUUCAACCUUGUCAUCUGAAAUUUUAAUGAGACACCUGUCAAUGAGAACACUAAAUCCAAUAUCUGUUUUGAAACCGCAGCCAUCUAGUAUCCGCUUUACAAAAUCAACUUGAUGCCCUCUAAAGAAACAUGCAAUGUUCAGAAAUAUACUCUUCGUGUUAUUAUCACGUAGUGCAUCAAAGCCUAUUCUCAGCAAGUCAAAAAUGUUCAGCUCGGGAAAGCUUUCGAUCUCAUUUAAUUGAGAUUCCCAAAAAUGUCUUUCUCUACUGAACAAGAAGGAACCCAAAACUUGAAGAGCUAAGGGGUUGCCUUUGGCAUAAUUUAUUGGGGGGUGGUUUCCCUUAAAAUAACUGCUGCCCCAAGAGACAACGUGGGCCGUCAGCUCUUGUCUUUUAAACUCCAGACUGCUUCGGUGGUUAAUUUGAGACUUUAUUAAUAUUAGGAUGAAACUAGAUCGGGUUUUAAAAAAAUAAAAAUAGUUAAAAAUUUAGUUGACUUAGCUAACUAGUUGGUUGAUCUCAUGAUAUGGUUGAUCUAAUAAAACUCGGUUAAAAAUCAAGUUGCAAUCUAUUAAUUAUUAUUUUUUAUAUCAAAACAACAUCAAUUCGAUUGACAAAAAAAAAAUUAAUAUUAGCUCGGGUGACUUAGUCAUCCGGGCUGGGUUUAAAAACACAAAUCUCAUCUCUUCAGGGCUUGCUUUUUUUUAGCCAAUUCAAUAUAUAAAGAAAAUAUUGAAUCAGUGAAUACAAUAUUAAAAAAAAAAAAAACUGAAUGAUAAAUAUAAUAGAUUCUUAAAUCUGAGCUGCAUAAAUUAGGAUUCGGAAAUGGACGAAUAUUUAUAAAAUUUCAAUCUAAUUAGAAAGAUCCUCACGGAUAUUUUUAUUAAACAAAUUGACAAUCAUAAUUUAUGAAUACUUCUUUCAUAUGAAUUCAAAUACUUCAUUGUUAAAAAAAAAAUUGAACAUAUUUUAUAAUUCCUUCCACUUUAAGUGAUAAACUAUAAUAAAACACAGCACACCCAUACAUAUAUACUCAUUAUUUGUUUAUAUAUUUCUUAAGAAAAUAGUAAAAUAUAAAUAUGUACAAGAUAAGUUAAUAUUUAAAUGAGAUAUCAUUAAUUUAUCAUAUUUGCAUUCCUUAGGUUGCAAAUUACAUAGCAAAUCCUCUUAUAUUUUUUUUAAAUAUAAGUUUUUAUCAUCUUAAAUGGUUAAAUUGCUCUUAGUUUUUGGUAUAUUUGAUAAGAAAUUCCUCCCUUCGUUUUCUUUUUCCGAAUUUCUUUAAAUAUAGCUUUUCAUGAGAGUGAGAUUUAUUUGAUUUUGACAAAUUAUCUAACAAUAAUUAGAUCCAUAUGAGGAGCUCUUACGUUGGUUUUUGUAAAAUUUUAAAGUUUUUCUUUGUUUUAAAUUAAUAUUUUUUAGAUAUUUUUAAAUCGUUUUAAUAUGUCGAUAUUAAAAAUAAAUUUUAAAAAAUAAAAAAAUAUUUAUUAUUUUAAAAUAUUUUUAAACAAAAAAUAUUUUAAAAAAUAACCGCUACCACAAUAUUAAACGGGAUCUAAACGAGCACAAAUAAGUUUUUGUUUUACCUUAGCACAGUUGACUAGAAUUAACAAAAUAACAGAUUUCAUAAGACAUUUAAGAAAAUAGCAUUGCUUAGAUGCCACUUGCUUAUUAAAUGCACUACAAAAAAUUACAUGAGAAGAAAAAAAAGAGAGAAAAAAAACCUCAAAUGUAUAUUGAAGCUUGAAUGAUGUCACCAUCAUUACUAUAAAAUAUAUAUCAUUAAAAUGAAUCUAAGAAUAUCAAAACAAAUCAUCAAAAUUAUUUUAUUUAUAAUUUUUUUAUGAUGAUAUUUCAAGGAAAAUUUUAUUAACAAUUUAUAAAAUCAAUAAAAUAUUAUAUAAAUGUUGAAAAAAAUAUUUUGUCGAAAUUCUCUGUAGUGAUAUAAAUAUUUUUUUCACGUUUAUGAUUUUACAUGUGAAAUAUCAUUUAAUUUGCAUAGACACCUUCCAAGAAAAAGUCGAAGUCCGCCACCAUAGGUCACAUGCAUAAUUUUUGUAACAUGCUAAAUUUGAAAAACCAACAACCCUCUCUCCGAACCCUUAGGUCUAACCCUAGUUCUGAAUUUAUAAAUACCUUCUUUCGUCUGUAUUCAAAUACUUCAUUAGGAAAAGAAAUUAACAUACACUUUAAGUGAUAAACUAUAAUAAAACACAGCAUACCCACACAUAUAUACGCGUACAUAGAUAUAUACGUACAUCUAUAUGUAUAUGUCGUCAAUAUUAUUAAAGAAAGUUAAAAUGAGUGACUUUAACGUUGUUAUUAUCCUUCUAAAUGACACCUAAUUAAUAAUUUAUUAUUUUUAAAAAGGAUUAGUUGUGCUUAAUUUAAUUUAGAUAUUCAUACUCAUUAUUUGUUUAUAUAUUUUUUUAAAAAUAUUAAAAUAUAAAUAUGUGGAGAUAAGUAAAUAUUUCAAUAACAUAUCAUUAAUGUAUCUUUAAAGUACAAUUGAAAGAAAGAAAAUAUAUAGAUAGGUUUUCAAAAAGUAUAGUUCUUAGAGAGCAAAGAACAGUAACUUGCUUGAAAAACUACAAACCCAUCUCUCUCUCUCUCUCUUUUUUGGAGAUUUUUUAUUAUUUUGAUAACUUUUGUUUUUUUUUCAUUUAUAAAGAAAAAAACAUUGAGUUAGACAAAUAAUCUCUACAUUUACACUCAAUUUCAUUUAUAAAGAUUUAUUUUUAAUUUAUUUUAUUAUAAAAUCAUUUCAUAAUAAUUUUAAUCAAACACAUUUUUUUAGAAUUAUAAUUAAAAUUAUUAUUUUUUAUUUAUUUUUAACCGCAAUAACUAUACAAAUGUGGAGAACAGAAAAAACUAGGAGAUGGGGCCUUACGAAAUCUUCAUCCGAAAUAGAGUUCAAAAAAUUAUUAUAACUCAGUUUAGUAUUAGUAGCAGCUACUACUACUAAUAACAUGAUAGUUAAUUAUAACUUGUUAAAAUGAUAUACUAAAAAAAAAAAUAUCAAGGAAAUACAUAAUAAAUAUAUUUGAAAACGUAGAUACAUAUUAGUAUAAUGAAGGUAUUUCCAUUCUAUGCUAUCAUUGAAAAGUACAAUAUUAAAAUAAAAAAAUGCUUGCAAGAAAAUAAAAGCUUGUCGUCAUAUUAAAAUAUAAUUAUUUAAUCCUUAUGAUUUUAAAUCUAUAAUUAACAUAAUCUUAUUUUAUUAAUUUCAUAUCUUUUUUUUAUUUUUUUAAAUAAAAAUUUAAGUACAUAGGAUAUAUAUAUAUAUAUAUAUAUAUAAGUUAUAUUUCUUAGCAAAUGACUUAAUUAACCUUUGUCAAUUCUAGUAAAAAUCAUUAAUUUUUCUAAACUAUAAGGUCUAAAUUUUAACAACAACAAUAAUAUACUAAAAUAUGUACUUGCAAUGGCGGAGCUAGGAAUUUUUUUUAUCCUAGGCUAUAAUAUAAAUAUACAUAAAUUAUUUUUUAAGAUUAAUUAUUAACUUGUAUAUAUAAAUUUAUCAAAUUAAUAAUAAAGUUUCAAUCCAAAUACAUAAUACAAAAUAUAAAUAAAAUAAAAUCUAAAGUAUAUAAAAUUGAAAAUAAAAAUAAAAUACAAUAUCAAAGUUGCAUCAUUCGAUGUUUUGUAGAAUAAAAUUCAUCUAUAAUCGAAUCCGAAUCAAUAUCUUUAACAAGCUCUCGUUCAAUGUAAAUCAUUAUAAAAUACGUUAAGAACUACUCUUUUAUUUUAUUGCGAAGCACAGUUUUAACAUGUUUUAUAGCUAAAAAUAUCCGCUCUGUAGUGGCAGUGCAGGUAAAGUCAAAACAAGAUGAAUCAACUUGUCAAUCAAAUGAGAGUACUGUGACUUCUUUGUUUUAACUAAUCCUCGACAUAAUUCAAAAAUUAUAGACAUUAGGGGUGAGCAAAAAAACCGAAAAACCGAUUAAAUCGAGAAAAUAAAAAAUAAUAACUGAAAAAACUAAAUCAUAAAAAAACUAAUUAAACCGAUUAAAAUUUUGAAAAAAUUAACUGAUUCGGUUUUGGUUUUAUAAGCUUGAAACCGAAAAAACGGAGCCAAACCGAAAAAAUCAAGCCUACCGAUUUGAAUUGUUUUAAAAAACCAAACCGAAUCAAAAUUGUUCGAUUUGAACAGGUUUUGGUUCGAUUUAGGUUUUUUUCAAAAAAAAAAAUUAAUUUGGUUUGGUUAUUUUUUUUUAUAAAAACCGAACCGAACCGAAAAUGAUCACUCCUAAUAGACAUAUUCUGAAAGCUUUUAUGAUGAAUCAUAUCAAUCUGAUAAUAUUCUAGCUAAAAUUUUAAAUAAUACAUUUCUUGUUCAUUGAAAUCUUCAGGAUAAUUUUUUAGCUAGAAUUUAAUGAGUUGAGAAUUAUAGACAUUAACUUAAAUUUAGGUGAUUUGUUUGAGUUUAUUUUUUUAUUUCAGUUUCAUCCUUCAACAUUUAAUUUAAUUUUUUUUUUUAAAGUGUGGGAAAAAACUCAAAAAUUAAGUUGUGUUUUUUUUUGAAAAGUUUACUAUGCAAGAUAAUUGAAAUUUUUGUUAAAAAUAAUUUAGUGGUCGGUAAAAAAAAAUGAUAGAACUCCAUUUGCUUUUUGGUAUGUUAAAACCAAACUUGAUAGAUAUUUUAUUUUCUAGCUUUUGUUGUUCUUGAAAAUAUGCUUCUUUAGUAACUAUGGAUUUUUUUUAUUUUUUUUUCCCACCUGGGCUACAGCCCUCCUCAGCCCUCUAAGUACCUCCGCCCUUGUGUACUUGCACUCAAAGAUAAGUAAGUUUGUUAAAUUAUGCAAAAGGGAAAGAAUUAAUCUUGGAUUGGUACAUGAAAUGAACACCAUCACAUAUAAAAAUAAAUAAGAGAAUAACCCAAUUGUCAUCGUCAAUUUUUUUUGGACUCGGCAGCAAUUCGCCCCACUGUAUCCUUGUCAAAAUAAUUAUUAAAUUAUUUCUACCGUGAAACCCAAGUGUCACAUUAAAUAUACCAUGUUUAUCUUUGGCAUCAAGUAGACGAACCCCACACUUAAACAUCUAAUGCUAAGAGAAUGCCGUUCAUAUCUUCCGGGUGGAAUUCAAUGUAUUUACUAAACAUAUCAUUUUCUUUGACAACCAGACAGGGAUCCAAUCCCACAAAUAUAUGUGAUAGCAAUAGAGAUCAUGGCUAUCACCGUGCUCAUUGCGGAAGUGAUACGUGCAUUUAACUUGCAAACUAUGGCUGAAAUAAUGAAAUGCAAUGACAGCGCAAAGAGAGAAACCCAAGAACUCCCUAUUAGCCCAAUGUGAAGAUAGCUGGAAUGUUACUGUAGAUCCCCAAUUUUGAUGGCUAAACCACUCCGGAGUUACAUCUCCAGGGAGGCAGAAACUAAGUGGCAUAGCUGGAACACAGGGCUCCUCCUGUUAACACAAUUUCAAUAGCAUCUUUUUUAAAAUGAGACAUGACAAAUAGAGAAGAAAAGAAAAAAAGCAUAACAGAGGUUUGAGAAACAGACCUGAUGGUAUAACUCUUUGGGAUAAAGUUGAAAAUCUAAUGAGUUCGCCAACUUGGAAAACAUACCGGACAUGACAAUAUAAUCCUCCCAGCAUGAGGCUUGGAACCUUGCUCUCUUGCCUUGGAACCUUGCUCUCUUGCCUUGGAACAUUGCUUCCAAUGCAUCACAAUAAUAGUCGAUGCAAUGUAUUCCAUCUUCAUACAGUAGACGGAUCCCACACUCGUGUACUUAACAAAGAUCUAAUGGUAAGAGAUUGCCAUUCAUAUCUUCCAGUUGGAAUUUAAUUGAGACCUUACUAUAUUCACUAAAUAUAUCAUCUUCUUUGACAACCAGGCAGGGAUCAAAUCCUAUGAGUAUGUGAUCUGAGUCAAUGCGCUUCUCAUCAUACCAACCAUGGAGAUAGCAAUAGAGAUCAUGGCUAUUACCGUGCUCAUUGCUGAAGUGAUAUGUGCAUUUAACUUGCAAACUAUGGCUGAAAGAAUGAAAUGCAAUGACAGCGCAAAGAGAGAAACCCAAGAACUUGCUAUUAGCCCAAUGUGAAGACAGCUGGCAUGUUAUUGUAGAUCCCCAACUUUGAUGGCUAAGCCACUGCGGAGAGACACCUCCAGGGAGGCAGAAACUACAUGCCCCUUCUGGAACAUCGGGUAGCUGCUAACACAAUUCAAAUAGCAUCUUUUUAAAAUGAAAGGUGGCAAAUAUAGAAAAAAAAAAGAUGUGUAUCAGAGGUUUGAGAAACAGACCUGAUGGAGCCUUUUGGUAUAAAGUUGAAAUUUCAUUAAUGAGUACGGCAAGAUUUGAUUGAUCCUACACAAGCUCAAGCAAUUAGUGAAAAUGAAUUCAAAAAUGUUCCCCCCAACUACAGUUGAUGAGCUUGAUUCUAGAUAAUUCAAACUCUCGCAAUUGUCUGCAUCCAACUUUGAUAGCCGUGGUGGAAGCUCCGGUAAUGAUUCAAGUCUCUUGCAAUUCCUUAAUCCUAGAUAUUGCAACUCCAAGAGUUCAUUGAUGCUUAUAGGUAUAGUCUUAAAAUUGUUUCCACUUAGAUCUAACACUUCCAGUGACGAUAGAAAACCAAGACUGUCUGGCACUACCGAUAUAUGGCAACCAUCUAGAUUUAGCUUACGCAAACAAUUUAAACUCGAAGCGUCCAAAACAUUCGAUGUCUUCUAGAUAUUUGCAGUUUCCCACUUCCAAGCAGGCAAGUCCCUUCAGAUUUCCAAUCGGUGAAGGCAACUUUGUUAUGCUUGUCUGUUCCAAAUAGAGAUAUCUCAAACAUACCAUCGGCUCCAAAACUUCUGGAAAAUUUCUAAAUUGGAGGCAACCUGAGAGAUUAAGCCUCCACAGUUUUCUCAACUUGCAGAUGCUGCUUGGAAGAAUCUCAAAUUGUUUGCAGUUUCGCAGGUGCAAUUCAGCAAGUUCAAACAAACAUUCUAUUGAUGAGGGAAUCUCUCGUAUUGCUGUCCCAUCUAAAUACAGCUCCUUUAUAUUAUUUGAAACCUUUGGAAACUCCGUGAUACUUGAGCAACCGGAAAGAUCUAAAUAAAUGAGUUCCCUUAGAUCACCAAUUGAAGAUGGCAGUUCUUCUAUUGCAGUUCCAUUCAAGUACAAGUAUCUUAUAUUCCUCGAAAAAUCAGGAAGCCUGCUGAUAGAUGAGCAGCCAGAAGUCAGCAAUUAGAAGAGAUUUCAACAAAUAUAUGUUUUCUGGAAGAUUAACCAGGUGUUUGCAGUUCUUCAAAUUCAACGCAACAAGUCCACUUUGUUCCCCAAUUGAUUGGGGAAGCUCUUCAACAGCAGUCUCAUUUAAAUUUAAAUAUGUCAGUUUCCUUGCAGUCUCUGGGCACUUCUUGAGAUUUGAACAACCAGAAAGGUUAAGACUCUUCAGACAUCUUGAAUUAAUUCUACUGGGCAGAUUGAUUAGGCUUGUGCAGCCUCUCAAAUCUAAAUCAUUAAGCUUGUCCAGAUGCUGUAUAGAUGAAGGAACCUUAACCAAACUUGUACAGAAUUGAAGAUUCAUCUCUCAAGGUUUCUGGCCUUUGAAAGGUCUGGCAGGGAAGUUAUGUGCUCACAAUUGCUGAGGUUGACAUCUUUUAAAUUGACGAGAUUCUGAAGCAAAAUGAAAUCAACAGAAAGAAAUUACACGUGCAUACCACACCAAAUUUCAAAGAAAGAACUAUGCAUGCAUAGAGUUAUUUUUAGAAUACCUGGUCUCCCCUCCAUAGUUGCUUAACCUUGCUAGAUGAUAGGUUAAGUUCAACAAGGUUCUGUGGACGAAAAUUGCAAGGCAAAGAUGUCAAAGGGUAUCCAUCCCAAUGGAGAUACCUCAACUCAUGAGAAAGAGACUCGAGGCCACUAGGAAGGUGCACUGUGCAUUUAUCUCCAGCUACAGAAUUAUAAAUUUUUAACAGUUUAAGAUUAUACAUCCUUGCGAAGGCUGUAGAACUCAACUCUAUUUCUCUUAUUUCUGAAAAAUCCAACAUCCCUUCUACUUUUUCAGUUCUUAUUUUUGAAACAUCCAGGAAUAUCCCUUCAACUUUUCCAGUUCCCUGAAAACCAGUAAAGGAGAAGCAAAGUUUAAGUAAGAUUUUAAACCUACUAGUACAACCAUAGUGCAUUGCAUAGGAAAGGGUAAACUUUCGGGCAUGUGAAUCUCACCAGAUUAUUGGUCAACACUUGAUAUGCAUCUUUUGGAUUCCAUAAUCUGCUUUGUUUUCGUAGCUCAUAAGCAGAUUCUUUCCGAACAACUUCAUGGGCCAUUUCUUGCAAAAGAUCAUGCAUUUCAACCUUGUCAUCUGAAAUUUUAAUGAGACACCUGUCAAUGAGAACACUGAAUCCAAUAUCUGUUUUGAAACCGCAGCCAUCUAGUAUCCGCUUUACAAAAUCAACUCGAUGCCCUCCAAAGAAACAUGCAAUGUCCAGAAAUAUACUCUUCUCUUCACUAUCAAGUGCUUCAUAACUUAUUCUCAACACACUAUGAACUUUUUGCCGAGUUAGUUUUUCAUCCUUGUUCAAUGCACUUUCCCAUUCUUUUGUCGUUCUGCCAAAUAGAAAGGAACCUAAGACUUUAAGAGCUAACGGAUUCCCUUUAGCAUAAUUUAUUGCCCUCACAGACAGCUCCAUAUAAUUGUAUGGGAGCUGGUUAUCCUUAAAUGCAUGCAAACUAAAGAGAUGAAGGGCUUCCCGGUAAUUCAGUCCCUCAACCUCAAAUAUUUUGUCUGCAUAUUUCUUAAGGACCUGUUUAUCUCUAGAUGUUAGGAUAAUUCUACUUCCUGGACCAAAAUCACAUCCUCCAAGUAACAUUUCAAUUUGAUCUACAUCAUUCACAUCAUCGAAAACAAUCAGAACCUUUUUACGGCUGAUCCUGUCUUUAAUGAAAGGGUGUCCAAUACGUGGAGUGCGAAUAUGUAGAUUUUCUUCCUCUGUUAUUUUAGAGAAAAGUUCAUCUCGCAUACGAAAUAAUCCUCCAUUCUUUUCUGAUUCCCUCACAUUUGCAAGAAAAUAGUGACCUUCAUAUUCCCUUGCGAUCUUGUUGAAAAUCUCUCCAGCAAUGGUUGUCUUACCACUACCACCCAUGCCCCAAAUUCCUACAAAACAAACCUCCGGUAACUGUGUGCAUAAUAAGGCUUCGAUUUGCUUCAUACGUGAAUCCAUUCCAACCAGGCCCUUCAAAUCACUUGAGGAUGCAUAAUUCAAUUUCUUCAAAAUAUGAAGUACAAUUUGUUCCACGAGUCUCGACUCAGGCCUGCCAACAUGGAGGCGAACAGAUAUGUCAAAUAGUACAACUUGUGUGACGGAUUCCAAUUGCCAUACAUUAUAACACACAUACAUGUGAAAUCUAAAUUUACAGAUGCAUGGAAAAACUAUACUUUAAACUGCUCAUUUGGUAACAUUUAGAAGUCACAUAACAUAUUAUAAAGCUCAAAACAUAUGCUUCUGAAUCCAAAAAUAUGAUUAUCAACUUCAAGAAAUUUUAAUUGCUAUAAAUAAAUUUUAAUUGCUAUAAUUCCAGAAAAAAAAAGGUUGAAGAUGAGAAUCUAUAGUUACCUAGUAACCUGUGAAUCCCAUCCGGAUAUAUUGGCAGCACUUGUUAAGUCAGCUCUCCACCUUGGAACCUUGUCCAUCUUCUGCUUAAAAUUUCUUUCAAGCUCAGCAAACGCAUUCCCAAAACUCCCUGUCUGUUCGUCAACAUCGGACGGGUCCACAUGAUAGAAAACUGGUAAAACAAUCUGCCCGUAUGCCUUCUUGCAUUCAAGUAUCUUCACUAGUUCAUCCACACACCAUGGAGAAGAUGCAUAGUUUCUUGAGAAUAUUAUCACUGAAAUUCUCGAUUCUUCAAUUGUUCUCAAAAGUGCACCGUAAUUUCUUCUCCCCUUUCAAGUUUGUCGUCAUGAAGGUCUUGAUUUGUUUACGACACAGAGCAUCAUAGAGAUGGCUGAUAAAAUUAUCUCGCGUAUCCUUACCUCUGAAACUAAGAAACACAUCAUACUUCCAUUUUAGCAACAGCAGAUGAAGAUGCCAUAUCAGACAGUUACAAGAUCGUGUCUUCCU
rnacentral:lncRNA from 1 species